ACGGGAGGAAGCAGUGGGGAAUUUUGGACAAUGGGCGCAAGCGUGAUCCAGCCAUGCCGCGUGUCUGAAGAAGGCCUUCGGGUUGUAAAGGACUUUUGUCAGGGAGGAAAUCCCUAAGGUUAAUACCCUUGGGGGAUGAGAGUACCGGAAGAAUAAGCACCGGCUAACUACGUGCCAGCAGCCGCGGUAAUACGUAGGGUGCAAGCGUUAAUCGGAAUUACUGGGCGUAAAGCGUGCGCAGGCGGUUGUGUAAGUCUGAUGUGAAAGCCCCGGGCUCAACCUGGGAACUGCAUUGGAGACUGCACGACUAGAGUGCGUCAGAGGGGGGUAGAAUUCCGCGUGUAGCAGUGAAAUGCGUAGAGAUGCGGAGGAAUACCGAUGGCGAAGGCAGCCCCCUGGGAUGACACUGACGCUCAUGCACGAAAGCGUGGGGAGCAAACAGGAUUAGAUACCCUGGUAGUCCACGCCCUAAACGAUGUCAACUAGCUGUUGGGGGUUUGAAUCCUUGGUAGCGUAGCUAACGCGAGAAGUUGACCGCCUGGG
rnacentral:rRNA from 1 species